GACGAACGCUGGCGGCGUGCCUAAUACAUGCAAGUCGAACGCAGUGGGGACGGUUGAGUAACACGUGGGUAACCUCCCAUCAGAGGGGAUAACACUUGGCAACAGGUGCAUAACCGAUACUGAUGGAUGAACCCGCGGUGCAUUAGCCAGUUGGUGAGGUAACGGCUCACCAAGGCCACGAUGCAUAGCCGACCUGAGAGGGUGAUCGGCCACACUGGGACUGAGACACGGCCCAGACUCCUACGGGAGGCAGCAGUAGGGAAUCUUGGGCAAUGGACGAAAGUCUGACGGAGCGACGCCGCGUGAGUGAAGAAGGUUUUCGGAUCGUAAAACUCUUUUGGUAGAGAAGCGGUAUCUACCCAGAAAGCCACGGCUAACUACGUGCCAGCAGCCGCGGUAAUUC
rnacentral:rRNA from 1 species